rnacentral:rRNA from 1 species
GACGAACGCUGGCGGCGUGCCUAAUACAUGCAAGUUGAGUGCUGAAGGUUGGUACUUGUACCGACUGGAUGAGCAGCGAACGGGUGAGUAACGCGUGGGGAAUCUGCCUUUGAGCGGGGGACAACAUUUGGAAACGAAUGCUAAUACCGCAUAAAAACUUUAAACACAAGUUUUAAGUUUGAAAGAUGCAAUUGCAUCACUCAAAGAUGAUCCCGCGUUGUAUUAGCUAGUUGGUGAGGUAAAGGCUCACCAAGGCGAUGAUACAUAGCCGACCUGAGAGGGUGAUCGGCCACAUUGGGACUGAGACACGGCCCAAACUCCUACGGGAGGCAGCAGUAGGGAAUCUUCGGCAAUGGACGAAAGUCUGACCGAGCAACGCCGCGUGAGUGAAGAAGGUUUUCGGAUCGUAAAACUCUGUUGGUAGAGAAGAACGUUGGUGAGAGUGGAAAGCUCAUCAAGUGACGGUAACUACCCAGAAAGGGACGGCUAACUACGUG